UACGUAGGGACCAAGCGUUGUUCGGAUUUACUGGGCGUAAAGGGCGCGUAGGCGGCCCUACAAGUCACUUGUGAAAUCUCCGGGCUUAACUCGGAACGGCCAAGUGAAACUGUAAGGCUAGAGUGCAGAAGGGGCAAUCGGAAUUCUUGGUGUAGCGGUGAAAUGCGUAGAUAUCAAGAGGAACACCUGAGGUGAAGACGGGUUGCUGGGCUGACACUGACGCUGAGGCGCGAAAGCGUGGGGAGCAAACAGG
rnacentral:rRNA from 1 species